rnacentral:lncRNA from 1 species
UGUUCUCCACAUUAAGCAGAGCUCCCUGAAUAACUCAUGAACAAAAGCAUCGAUGACUAACCGUUGCUCUGUGUCCUCCUAGCCUCUGAGGAGCCUCCAGCUCACAAGGACAGAGGAGGUGGAGAGAGGCCAGUCAACGCGAGGGUGGUGCGGGUGGCCCCUCUGAGGCCUGGUUUUGCUCUUUGUGGGUACGCUGUACAAGACAUCUCUAAAGAAGACACUGUAUAUGACAUCUGUAAUGAGGAUGCUGUAGACAUCUCUGAUGAGGACACUGUAGAUAUCUCUAAUGAGGCUUCUGUACAUGACAUCUCUAAUGAGGCUGCUGUAUGUGACAUCUCUAACGAUGCCGUAAACAUCUCUAAUGAGGCUGCUGUACGUGACAUCUCUAAUGACGCUGUAGACAUCUGUAAUGAGGCUGCUGUACAUGACAUCUCUAAUGAGGACACUAUAGAAGACAUUUCUUAUGAGGACACUGUAUACGACAUCACUAAUGAGGAUGCUGUACGAUACCUCUGUAAAAAAGAUGCUACCA